CUGUUUCCCCAGAGUACACCCUCGCGCGAGGUAGCUGCCUUUUACCCUCUAUCUCGUGCCGUUACUGACUGUCGUCGACCGGUUGUUUCUUGAGGGUUUCCUCGACGAUUCCGCAGCUCACGAGGGUGAAAGAGAGACAGAGAGACAAAGACAGACAGAUAGAUAGAGUGAUAGAAAGACAGAGAGGGAGAGAGGAAGGUUGGAAGCAGUGCGUCGAGAGACUUCGAGGACCACCUUGUCUACCUGUUUGCUUAGAAAGCUGCCAGCCACCGGACUGUAACUCGGUUUUUCCUGCUCGUCCUCAUUGUCACGAUGUAUUUUUCCAAGGGUUUCGGGGACACGCGUCACUCGUGUGUGUAGUUAAAUGAAGCAGAGGAAAAUAAUGGGAAAAUUAAUGUAUCUGUGAGAUACAUUGCGACCGUUCGUGAGUGAAAAAUAUUGCGACUAACGGAGGGUUAACUUUAAAAUUACAGAGUAAUUAUAAUAGGCGAGAGAAAGAAAGUUGGCUGAUCAGUGUUAAUUUUCGAAUUUCUUCUGCUACCUUUGGUAUUGACGGACGCUUCCAGCCUGUCGCAGAGAUCAGAUGAGAGGCUCGUCGGAUGCAUAAGCUGUAACUACACCACCGUGGAAUUCGAUUCCAAUCGACUGUGAAUCAAAAGAUCGCGCGCUUUCGAAAUCCAACUUCCAUUAACGACGUAUUGUAAUUUGCGGCCCCGAACGAGCGGACGUUAAUUGGCCGCAAAGCAGCGUGGCGAUACGAAUCGUCAAUAAUCGACAGUUGCGCGCGAAACGCGAAGUUUUAAAUUAAGAAUCCACGCGCGAUUUUAAAGCUGGUAAAAUCGUACUCCCCGAGUCGCGCGAGAUAGCUUUCAGAUAUGACAGGAAGAUUCUCACGAGAGCUAUUUCCGUCGAUCUUUCGAGCUCUUUUCGUGAGAUUUGCCGGCUCGUGAAAAUGUAUCGCGCGCUGCGCACGGUUGCGACAUUAAUUGCUCAGAAAAAGAAGAACGGACAAGAGCAAAAAGUUUUAAUGACUACCGCUCGCGUUAUCGUUCCUUCCCCUCUUAGUUCCUCCCUUCCCCUCUCUCGACAUUGUUGCUGCAGUGGAAAAAACUUCGCAAGAGCGGCAAUAAUAAACGCAUAAAGCCGCCAGACGCGCGUUUUCGGACAAAAUAUUAGCCGAAGAUUUACGAGGAGCUAAUCGAGGCGCGAGUGAGAAAGCGAGAGAUCGAGAGAAAGAGAGGAGGCAGCGAAAGAAGAAGCGGGCUGCGCCAAGCGCAUUAAUCACAAAGGCUUCAUAUUUUUUAAGCUCAAAGGAAAAUGAUCGCCGCACACGCCCGCGCACGCGUUUGAUGUUUUAAUGCGCGGUGAAUUCUCGCCGAUGGGUUGCCUCAAAGCUUUAUGAGAUUGGAUUAAAAUGCGAAAUGCAAUCGCGAGUUACUCGAUAUCGGCUACGCGCUACUUAGAUGCAUUAAUUAUUUCCUAUGUCAUUAAUUACACGAUUUAUACACGAAAUGACCCAGUUUCGCACGUUCGGUUAUGAGCUGCGUAUAUCCGCGUUGAUCCACUUGUCAAAGAGGACAAAGAGACGAAAGAACUGAAAAAUAAAAAUUUCGACCUAUAUGACAUUGUUAUACUUGAUGCUUGGGGUGUGAUCGUUCAUCUGAUAGCUAAAUCGGGUAAGGUCGACGGGAAAGAUUCUGUCUUCCUCAAUACGGCAACGCGAAAAGAAUACUACUGCCUAACAUUCCAGGCCAGCAUGCGAUUUUUCCUUAACUGAAUGCGUGAUCACGUCGUUUCACGCACUCGCGUAAGUGGUGAAAAUCGAGUUCUCGCAAUUUGCGCGACGAAAAGAGGGGGAAGGAGGGAGUAUUACUGCAAGAAGAGGGAAUACAAAAUUAGAUGACGUGGCUUUAUCUCGCGCCGGAAAGUAUGAGCGGUCCACGGCCCUAUCUAUACGCUAUCACGAGAGAGCGAGGGGCGCACGCGUUGGCUGUUCGUCAUUUGGCAUCACCCUCGGCUGCUCUCCGGGGAACAAUAAGGCUCGAAAUGUCAGAGCCUCAUCGUGCAAUACCUUCACGGCGGCUUACAGUAAUCGUUGACGAAAUGAGAAUAUAUUGGCGGGAGGGACGAAUCAAGACGGACGUACGGAAAUGUACUCGAUAUGAAAAUAGCUGCGAGCGCCGGAAAUAAAGUCUCCCAAGGGACGGA